GAUGAAGAACGUAGCGAAAUGCGAUACUUGGUGUGAAUUGCAGAAUCCCGUGAACCAUCGAGUCUUUGAACGCAAGUUGCGCCCGAAGCCGUCAGGCCGAGGGCACGCCUGCCUGGGCGUCACACGCCGUUGCCCCCCCGCGCCCCGCACCCAACGCUUUGGGAGCGACCGCGGGGCGGGCUGAUGAUGGCCUCCCGUGCGCUCCGCCGCGCGGUUGGCCCAAAUACCGAGUCCCCGGCGACGUGCGCCACGACGAUUGGUGGUUGAGAGACCUCUGUCGCAAGUCGUGCGCGCCCGUCGCGUCACGCGGGCUCGCAUAGCGCCUCGCGCCGCACCCGGUGCGGAGCUUUCAACGCGACCCCAGGUCAGGCGGGGUUACCCGCUGAAUUUAAGCAUAUCAAUAAGCGGAGGA
rnacentral:misc_RNA from 1 species